CACUUGGCCCCGAAAAAGGAGUGGUUCUCGAACAAAACGAGCCUAGCGAACCCUCCAACGCUUUGGUUUCGAAACCCUAGAUCUCACUCGGAAAACCCUUUUUGCCUUUUUGAGUUGUUUGUUGUUUCCGAAUUUUAUAGAGAGGAUUUUGAUCGAUCAACAACAAGAAGGGAGGCUAGUGGUUGAACAUGGAUUCGAAUUCACAUGGAAACCUCGAUGAGCAGAUUUCUCAGCUCAUGCAGUGCAAACCCUUGUCCGAGCAAUAGAUUAUGCUCUUGCUCAGUCUUAAAUAAUGUCUUCCAAGAGAGCCUCUGCCUCACUAGGUACCAUUAGUUCUCUUUUGAAGUUGUGUUGCUCACGAAACGUUUCGGAUUGUAUCAAAUGCUUUAAUACGUUAAGGGCUAUUAGCACUGCUGCUGAAAGUUCGAAUUUUCAGUUUUAUGGGGGUUAUCAAACAGAUGAUUCUGUGGGUUACCAGCAAAAAAACCCUGCUGAUUAUGUUGCUCAAUCAAAUUCAAGUCGGUCUUAUGGGAAUAAUCAAGCUAGUGCAGGUGAAGGUCAUAUGAAUUUCACCUCAAAUGGAGUGCAGAACAAUUUGGUAGGAGAUAAAGGAGGUGUUGAUGGGUACCCUGGUCCGAGCAACACAAGAAUGCAACAGAAAGUUUGGGUAGGUGUUGAUAAUUCUAGGGGAUUUGGGAUGCAUCCGAAUGUGUUUGUUGAGAAACAUAAUUGGACACAAGAACCUGAACAAAGGAUGCAGGAUCCCAAUUCAUAUAGUUCACCUCGGCCUCUAGAUUAUUAUGGAAAUGUUAAUCAAAACAUUGAUGGUUUUCAGCAGUCACCAACUGAUUAUUACUCUGGGAGUAAUGAAAUGCGGCAACAAUACUCAGGUUCUGGACAAUUUCAGCAGAGUCGAAAAGAUGGUUGGUAUCCUCCAAACUUGAAUAGUGUGCAGAGAUCAAUGGUUGACUCUCAUUCUUCAAUUAAUACGAAUCCUGAUGGCAAAUCAGCUGAGGCAUCUGACGGUAGUCCAUAUAGAGGUACAAUUAAGGAACUAGAUACUUACUGCAUGGAGGGUCAAGUGAAGGAAGCAGUUGAAGUUUUGAAAUUGUUGGAAAAGUUGCACAUUCCUGUGGACUUGCCUCGUUAUUUACAAUUAAUGCACCAAUGUAGGGAGGCUAAAUCUCUUGAAGAGGCAAAAAUUGUACACAGUUAUGCUUUACGACAUCUGUCACCUCUCGAAGUCAGCACAUACAAUAGAAUAUUGGAGAUGUAUUUAGAAUGUGGUUCUCUAGAUGAUGCGCUCAAGGUGUUCAAUGAUAUGCCAGAGCGCAAUUUGACUACUUGGGAUACUAUGAUAACACAUCUCGCUAAGAAUGGGUAUGCGGAGGAUUCAAUUGACCUAUUUACACAAUUUAAAAACUUGGGACUGAAACCUGAUGGUCAGAUGUUUAUUGGUGUUUUUUCUGCAUGUAGUAUGCUGGGAGAUAUUGACGAGGGAAUGCUGCACUUUGAAUCCAUGAGCAAGGAUUAUGGCAUCAUACCAUCUAUGGCUCAUUUUGUCAGUAUAGUAGACAUGAUUGGCAGUGUUGGGCAUCUUGAUGAAGCCUUUGCAUUCAUUGAAAAGAUGCCAAUGGAGCCAAGUGCUGAUGUAUGGGAGACUUUGAUGAAUCUUUGUAGAGUUCAUGGUAGCACUGAGCUAGGGGAUCUUUGUGCUGAACUAGUUGAGCAGCUAGAUCCUUCUCGCCUAAAUGAGCAAUCAAAGGCUGGCCUUGUACCUGUAAAAACUUCAGACUUGACAAAAGAGAAAGAAAAGAAUAAAUUAGGAACAAAAAAACUUCUUGAAGUAAGGAGCCGAGUCCAUGAAUAUCGAGCAGGAGAUACUUCUCAUCCUGAAAAUGAUAAGAUAUAUGCUCUGCUUAGAGGUAUGAAGUCACAAAUGAAAGAAGCUGGCUAUAUUCCGGAGACGAAAUUUGUGUUGCAUGACAUAGACCAGGAAGGCAAAGAAGAAGCUCUUCUUGCGCACAGUGAGAGACUUGCUGUUGGUUAUGGUCUCCUUAGCAGUCCUGCUCGCUCUCGUAUCACCGUAAUUAAGAACCUCCGUGUUUGUGGUGAUUGCCAUACUGCACUGAAGAUUAUUUCUAAGCUUGUGGGCAGGGAACUCGUCAUUCGAGAUGCUAAAAGGUUCCACCAUUUUAAAGACGGUCUAUGCUCCUGCCGCGAUUAUUGGUGAACACGAACUUAGGUGUAUCGGGACUUCCAAGAUGGAUUGAAUAGCAUGGCUGUUUGUAAUAACCCCUCAAAGCCUAAUUAUAGGAAAAUUAUUUAUAUAUCUCAUGGUCAUUAAAAACAAUCUUUAUACCCACGAGGAGAUUGGAAUUUUGUUUAACCAGGCUCUUUCUCGUUAUGGGGUAUAUAAAUCAAGCAGUUGGGUAUGCAUUCACGUUGCAGAAGUGUUAUUCUUUUGGAGCUGUUUGAUAUAAUUGAUUGUGGUAGCUUCCAUGUAAGAUAUAAAUGACUAUUGCACUCCAUAUCAGGGAGAAGUUGAUGUAAUUGAUAGAUAUAACAUUGACGUUCAAUGUUAUAAUUUCAGAUAAAUUUUUUAGACUGUCAUUUCUUCAUUUAACUCAAACUCGAAAUGACAUUAUUUUACAGGCAAAAUCACUUGUUUGUCUGGUUCAUCUCUUCUUGGUGUCAAAGUUCUAGAUGAUGCAAGGGCAAUUGGUUUUGGAAAUUAAAGGAUCAAAUUCAUCAAGAUUUGACAUGGU